rnacentral:lncRNA from 1 species
GGAGAAGCUGCAGCCGGAGGUGUCGCGAGCCGCAUCCAGAGCCGCUGACGGUACCAGCUGUUUCCUUAGGUCGCAGGCCAUGGUGCAAGGGACAUGAGGGGCGACAGAAGCUUCCUACUGGAUGAGCGCAGAGAGCGGCAGCGAUCCUGGUCGCUGGAGGCAGCGCCUCCGUGAAUACAAAGCACCUGGCUGCGGCCCAGCCUCCGGCCCCACUUGCUGGCCUCAGAGCCGUCGGAGGAGGCCAUUUUCCUCCCUCCAGGGCCCAAGAAUCAAAGAGACAUGAGGCAGGUUAGCAGGAAAAACCCAAACCAAGUUUAGUAACAUGCAUACCUGGGAAAGACCCAGGAAAACCCAGCAACUCAUCAAAACGGCCCAAACCCUCGCCCCAAGUACCAUCAACAGCUAAGGACAAAGGAGGGCGUCCGGGGAGCGUGGCUUUGGACGAGGCGGGGGAGGAAGGCCGUUCUGACCUCGAUGGAGAAGCAAAGUUUUGGUAAAGCGACUGUUCGCGCAGCCGCGCAGAGGAGGGCCAGAGGGGGCCAGGUGCCUGCGAGUCCUCACCCGGCGGCCUGCUUGGCUGCAUCUCUUGUGAGCACGUCCCGAAACUGGCCCUCCAUCUAGAUUCUGAUUCAGGCAGCUACGGCGGAUGCCAGAGCUUCUUCCUGAGUCUUCUGGGUUUGUUUGUUUUCGGCUCAAAAUAAUCCUGUACCAAAGAGACAUUUUGGGGAGGCAAGCUUCACUGCACAGCCCUGUUUUCAUCAGACAGCCGGCAAUACAGGAGGACCCGGGAUGUCGGAGCUGGAGAAGGCCGUGGUGGCCCUGAUUGACGUCUUCCAUCAGUAUUCUGGGAGGGAGGGGGACAAGCACAAGCUGAAGAAAUCCGAACUCAAGGAGCUCAUCAACAGCGAGCUUUCCCACUUCCUGGAGGAAAUCAAAGAGCAGGAGGUCGUGGACAAAGUCAUGGAGACACUGGACAGCGAUGGAGAUGGCGAGUGUGACUUCCAGGAAUUCAUGGCUUUUGUCGCCAUGGUUACCACUGCCUGCCACGAGUUCUUUGAACACGAGUGAACUGGAGAAAACCGACACGCAGUUCCUGCAGCGGAGAUGUGCGCAUCGUGCAGGGCAGUGGAGGCAGGGCUUUGGCAGGACAGUAGGCGCUGAGCUUUCCGGCUGUGUUGUAGCUAAUUAGGAAGCUUGAUUUGCUUUGUGAAUGGAAAAUUUAAACCUCUUUCCAGGGGCAGUUUUUAGUGGCCCCCGUCAUUGCUCCUGCAAUAGUAAGCAUACAGUUAGCUGACUGGUCCCAGGACUGCUGGUAAUCUUCAUUUAGGAAAGUCAGUUCUCGGUCACGAAGCGUGUGCUCUCCUAGCUGUGUAGACCCUUAGCCCAGAAAAAACAAACUGACCAGGAGCAUUGGGGUUUUCUUAAGCUUCCACUACAUUUAAAAAUACGAAGCCUUGUCCACUAUCCUUCGCAAAGGCUGCCCUUCGUUAAAUCUGUUCCUCACUGGGGCAAAUGAGACCUAUCAUGGGAGGGUGGCCUGACCAUCUGUGCCACCCACCCAAAGAGCGCGGCCACAUCUAGAUCCCUUCCCUGCGGUGUGCUGUGAUUGUCGCGCAUGUGAUGCUGCCAGUUCUGGGUGGAACAUCUGCCUCAGAAAGCAAGUGCUGACAUUAUCACUGUGAUUGGAACUGAGAAUGGAAAUUCUACCCUCGGUGGGGUUCUCCUCAGAGGAACACUCGCUGCCAGAUCUGGGGGGGCCACGUGGCUCAGGUGGCACGAGCGGGAGCAGGGGAGCUCAGGUGGGUCUCACGCUGCCUUGGAGACAGCUGUGCCCACCUCCUGCCCAGUCUGUAGAAGGAGGGCUUCCGGAAGAUGUGUCUGGUCCGCUGGAGAAGGUCGUUCCUGACCUGUGGAAUGUGAAGCCAGGGAGCCUAUUUAUGGCCUUUAUGCUUCUGUGUCCACAAAUUCAAAUACAUCAAGUUUCAAAUCAAAUAGUCAAGUUGCAAAUACUAGAAAUCACUUCCAAGAAAAUUCAAAUUACGCUUUCCACCCUUUUUCUGAUUUGCUGUUUUUAAGGACAGACUUGGGAGAUUCACGAACCAAUUGAUCGCUUGUAUUUGCAUUAAAUAAAAAGCAUUGUAACAAGUCUCCGAAGCUGUUAAACAUGAAAUAAAAGCUAAAUGCCUGCAAAA